GUGAAAGACUCUUUAUUGUCUGGUGGCAGAGGACCAGGCUAUAAAGUGUAUUGUGUCCUUGGGAAUCCUUUGAGAUAGAAGGUGCACAAGAAGGAGAAUGGACUCUAUUCAGCCUCGUGGAGGGCAGAACAGAGAGUUUCUUCAUGGGGUCAGAUUCUGGGCUUUGGGUGGAAGAGGGCGCUGGCAGCAAAGCCUCGUGGGAGCAGAGGGGUGAGGGACCCUCUUGUGGCUCCUCUGGGUGGCUCUGAGUGCAGGCAUGCAAAAGCAUUGCUAAAGAAUCACUGGUCUGUUUCAGGAAGCUUAUGUGGUCCUCUUGAAAGAUAUUUUCUGCGGUCUCGCAGAAGAGGAACUCCCAUGUGGGAGAGAAGUGGCAGACUUCUCCCUGAGGGGCAUAGCGGUGGGGACCACACAGCUGGAAGAAUCGUGCAGAACGCACAGCGCUUCACCUUCGACAGCACUUCCCAGGCUACAGGCUGCUUUAGAGGCAGACCUCAUGAGGAAGGGACCACAUGCCCUUUGGCUAAGUAGAGGCUGGAUGGAGGAGCAUCAGUGAACAGAAGACAGAGGCCGGCUGUGUUUCCAAUUACAUCUCAGGAGGAAGCCGGAGACUCUAGAACACUGACUACAAGAACCUUGAAAGGACCUUUAUACAGCCAAUUGGACCAGCAUUGUGUAUGUGAACCUGGACAGCAAUUCAGCUCAUACAUUGGACAGCAACCUAUGCGAUGGCCUCUUAGGAAACAUCUUCUGGUCCACUCAUCUCAUCUUGGAAAUCUGAAAUCAGACAUGCUGAGAAAAGGAGGUGGGCAGAAAUGGAGGCAGAAGUUAAAAGUGAAGACAGAGAAAAGCUCGGUAUAGAAGAGGCCAUGAGGGCUAAAGCAAAUCAGAGUUACAAGGAAGUAGAAACACACAUCAGCAGAAACCAAGAUAGACAAGAGGUCUUCAGCGUGCCGGGGAAAGGAUAAGGCCCUGAGUGGUGGGAUUCGGGUGGAUUAGAGCAGACAUAUGAAGCCAUGGCAGUGGCUGAGCACCAUGGGGAAGAUCCCUGAAUCCUGCUUGUUCUGGAGUUCUCACUUCCUGAGACCUGCUCUGCCUGGAGCCACGCCUGUCGUAGGAUCCUGAGCACAUGUAUCCUCACAAUAAGACAGCUGUUAUUUGAAAUAUCUCACGUGGAUCUCUUUUUCUUGCAAAUAAAUUCCCAAAAAAAGUGCAUAAUCUGACUCCUG
rnacentral:lncRNA from 1 species